rnacentral:piRNA from 1 species
UGGGAUUAAAUUCAUGCACUUCUAUACUUG